GGAUUCCGGUGGCUGCGUCCGCGUCGCCUCUCCCAGACUAGAUCGAAGGGUUCCCCCCACCUCCCCUCUGUGGGCGGAAAGAGCGGAAUGUUCCAUUUUUCUGUGGAAUAACGGGGUCAUGAACUGGAGCCCGGGUGCUGCCCGCCGCCCGCUGCCCCCGCCCUCCCUUCUCGCCAGGGCGCCUGCGGCCUCUCUUCGCGGCCUUCCCCGAGGGACUCAGAGCCGCGAGGGACCGCCUAGCUCCCUUGGGGAUGGGGAAGGCGUGGGAGCCUCUUGGGGAAAGUGAAGAGCUCGGUGGCCGUGACUCCGCACGAGACUGCGGCAGAUUGUGGCGGCGGCUUCUCUCCAAGACUUACGUAAACGAGCCUUGCCACAGUACUUUUUUAAAUUAGUAAAUGAGUUUGGGUGCGAUUGAUCAGUGAGCCCCAGAGGUGGUGGCCCACCAAGCGACUAGUGUUUCUUUGCGGUUUGUACCUCCCCGUUUAUGAUAAAAAAUACCGGGUAAAAACCUAUUCAUCCCGCCUCCGCCCCCCCCUUUCCCUCAGAAAAUGGACCUCAAGGCUCAUGAUGUUUGUUUCUCCCCAAAGGAAGAUGAGAAUCUUGAGUUAAAAGAUAAGGCAUGUGCGUGCGUGCGUGUGGGGUGUGUGCGUGGGUGUCUGUAAAAGUAAACACCCAAAGGUAGAGGUUUUUGUGGAAGAAUGAGAGGAUAUAGGAAGGAAAUAAUGGUUUAAUGAACUUAAAUUAUAUCCAUAAAUUAACAAUUAUAAAGUUCUUCAUUAUAUUGAGGAUUCAGAUAGAGUAAAACAUAGAUCGAAUUUUAAUCUCUUAGUUGUUGAUCAGAUAAUUUAUAAAAGGGCAAAGUGGGCCUGCUAACGGAGUCGCAGGCAAAGUAGAUGGUGCUGCAGCUGAUGUGUUCAGCUCUUGCUCCUCCCUGUCAUCCUAUAUCUAACCUAUAGAUUGUGACCAGAUUCUGUUCUAGCUUUGCCAUUUAGAGGGGUGUUUAUUUUAAAACAAAUUUUUAUAAAAAUUUGUUAAAUUGAAAAUUUUGUAUAGAUCCAGGAAACUUGAUUUUUUUGUUGUUGUUCACAGUCUCACUCUGUCACCCAGGCUGGAGUGCAGUGGCUGGAUCAUGCUCACCGCACGUUCAAAUUCCUGGGCUCUAGCGAUCCUCCCACCUCAACCUCCCAAGUAUCUCAGACUACAGGUGCCCCUACAAUACCUGGCCAAUUUUUAAAAUUUUUGGAGAGACAAGAUUUUGGUAUGCUGACCCGGCUGGUCUUGAACUGCUGGCAACAAACGAUCCUCCGGCCUUAGUGGCCUCCCAAAGUGCUGAGAUAACAGGUGUGAUGCAAAGAUGUAUUUAGGGGAGAUGUAUAGUGGUUAAAUGUACCCUCUGGUUCUAGAUUGCCUAGGUUUAAAUGCUGAUGCCUCUAUUUCUCAUCUCUGUGACCUUGGGCAAGUCUUUUCAAAUUUCUUCAUCUGCAAAAUGAGAAUAACAAUACCAACCUAACAGGAUUGUUGCAAGGAUUAAAUGAGUUAAAAUACAUACAGUGUUUGGCACAUAGUAGGUGCUCUGUAAGUAUCAGCUAUAAUCAUUAUUGAAUGUCUACUCGGUCAACACUUCUGAAAUAUUUUAGUAUCACAACAUAUAUUAAAAAUGAUGAUAUUUUGCUGGACGGGGAAGGGCAGGUACACAGAAGUGGAUUGAUAUGUCACAACACACCAGCCUGCCUUGGCACCAUUAGGAAAACAAAUGACUGAGUUAGUGCUUUUAUGGGUGUCUUUUUAUUGGCUCAGCUCAGGUCCUGCUCCCAAGAAACUCACAUUUUAUGGGAGUAGUUAAAGUCUGAGGCCAAAAGGAUGAAUCAAUAUUGGAGAAGUAUUUUUCAGAGCAACAGGACGGAAGACCUCUGCUGUGCUGGAAUUACAUGACUUUGCAGAUACCUCUGUAGAGUAUUGGCCUUGAAAUUACGAAUUUCAGAUUAAGGAUUUGUUACUAGAAAGCCUUGUCAAAAUGCAAAGGUAAGUAGGGGAAAGUAGUAUAUUAAUGGAGAACUCUCCAUUUGUGUCCUGUGACCAUUUGAGAUUUUAGAUAUGUCAAGAGCAGGCCGGGUGCAGUGGCUCACACCUGUAAUCCCAGCAUUUUGGGAGGCUGAGGCAGGCGGAUCACUUGAGGCCAGGAAUUCAAGACCAGCCUGGUGAAACCCCAACUCUAUUAAAAAUACAAAGAUUAGCCAGGCAUGGUGGUGGGUGCCUGUAAUCCCAGUUACUUGGGAGGCUGAGGCACGAGAAUCACUUGAACCCAGGAGGCAGAGGUUGCAGUGAGCUGAGAUCCUGCCACUGCACUCCAGCCUGGGUGACAGAGCAAAACUCCUUCUCAAAAAAAAAAAAAAAAAAAAAAAGAGAUUGAGGAAACUGUACAGUGAGAAAGUAACAUGAAGGCACCAAAAUUACAAUUACUUGGGAGUAAGUGAGCAAAGCUUAGGAAAUUGUGCCAUGGAACAAAGGUGAUAAAUGUCAAAGACAAACUUUGCCUGCAUUUCUAAUUCCCUAAAUCUGGUGCUGACUAGGAUAUCCCUUUACUUCCUUGUCUGUGCCCAGUUAUGUUUCUGAAAUUCUGUGUCAGCCCUGGAAUUAUCCUCAUGUUCUGUAUCACCUUAAUGAUUUCAGCAUCCAUGUUCAUGACUCAUUAGCACUCUGACCUCACAAUUUCUCAUCGUUUUCUUUUCCAAUCAUCUUCAACUUCACUCUGUAUCAGCAACCCACAGAUGGAGCCACACCUUCAACCUAGUCAUCAAUGAAAUUACUUCCCCUCCAAAAUGCUGGAUUGUGAGUUUCCCUCUCUGUACCUACAGCCACCUACCCCCAUCUAUCUCUAUUCUGUGGUCAUUCCCAUUGAAUCUGUAAUUUGUCCUCAAUGUGACAGCCUGACAGCCAGUCUUUCUUCUCAUAGUUUAUCAGCUGUUUCCUAUCAUUUUUUAUCUUACUUACCAGUAAGAACCCCCUUUUUUUUUUUGAGACGGAGUUUUGCUGUUGUUGUCCAGGCUGGGGUGCAAUGGCACGAUCUUGGCUCACCGCAACCUCCGCCUCCCUGGUUCAAGUGAUUCUCCUGCCUCAGCCUCCCAAGUAGCUGAGAUUACAGGUGCUCACCACCAUGCCUGGCUAAUUUUUUGUACUUUUAGUACAGACGGGGUUUCACCAAGUUGGCCAGGCUGAUCUCAACUCCUAAAAGUGAUGGGAUUACAGGGGUGAGCCACCGCCCCCCAAGAACCCUUUUAUCAACCAUUUUAACUGCACUAUUCUCUUCAGUUCCCUUGACCUUCAGCUAUGUUUACCUUAUCAGGCUAUUUCCUAACUAUUUCCUUUUUCCUUGAGCUAUCAGCCCCACCGUAACAUUUAUUCUUAGUACAGAACCUUGUUUUACUCCCUUAAAAUCAAGACCAUCAUUUGUGAGCAUCCUUGACUUUUCUCCAACUUAGGAAGCAAAUAGAUAUUUAUCCUCUUUCUCUUUUCCCCACUCAGAGGAAGAAAGGCCCCUUUACUUUUAAAAGGUUAAUUUCUCCUCCUCUGUUCUUGGUACUACUUUAAGUCUAGUCCCCUAGUUUUAUAUUUUUCAUUAUUAACACUAAAUGACUUUGAAAUGUUUAAAAAUUAGAUAUUAACUCAGUGGUGAGUUGAGGACAGCCUCUCUGCCUGUGUUAAAACCUUUGUAACCUGAUAGCACCUAAUUCACCAAAAUUAAAAAUAAUUAAAUGUCUAAAAAUGAAGAAUGUUAAGCUACAUUGAAAUUCACUUAACAAAAUGAGGUGAGAAUGAAAAAUGAACUUAAAUUUCCAAACUAGAAGACAAGAGAAAUUCAUUUCAUAGCAACAAAACUCAAAACCAUUAUGACUGCUAUUUCAAAAAAUGUUUUGAAGAAUGUAUAUUCAGAAAAAUCAACAUACCAUAAGAGUACAGCCUGAAAAUUUUUGACAAAAUGAACACAUUCAUGUUUAUCAUCUAUAUCAAGAAACAGAAGGCCUGGCACGGUGGCUCACACCAGUAAUCCCAGCACUUCCGGAGGCCAAGGCGGGCAGAUCACGAGGUCAGGAGUUCGAGACCAGCCUGGCCAACGUGGUGAAACCUCAUCUCUACUAAAAAUACAAAAAUUAGCUGGGCUUGGUGGUGCAUUCCUGUAAUCCCAGCUACUGGGGAGGCUGAGGCAGGAGAAUGGCUUGAACCUAGGAGGCGGAGGUUGUAGUGAGCCAAGAUUGUAGUGAGCCAAGGUUGUAUAGUGAGCCACUACACUCCAGCCUGGGUGACAGAGCAAGACUUGGUCUCAAAAAGAAAAAAAAAAGAAAGAAAUAGAAAAUAGUCUGGGUGCGGUGGCUCAUACCUGUAAUCCCAGCACUUUGGGAGGCCAGAGGCUAAAGCGGGUAGGUCACAAGGUCAAAAGUUUGAGACUAUCCUGGCCAACGUGGUGAAACCCAGUCUCUACUAAAAAUACAAAAAUUAGCCAGGCGUGGUGGCACACGCCUGUAGUCUCAGCCACUCGGGAGGUUGAGAUAUGAGAAUCGCUUGAACCCGGGAGGCAGAGGUUGCAGUGAGCUGAGAUCACGCCACUGCACUCCAGCCUGGUGACAAAGUGAGACUCUGUCUUAAAAAAAAAAAGAAACAGAAAAUGACCAGUACCCCAAAAGGGCCCUCCUCCCAUCCAGUUAUUGGAAGGUCAUAACUGACCACUAUUCUAAUGUCAUAGCGUUGUACCCAAGCGAGUUAGAGAAAACGACACACUUUGAGACGAAUUAAGAGUCCUUUAUUAGCCAGCGACCGAGAGAUAGCUAACGCUCACAAUUCUCUCUGCCCCGAAGAAGGGGCUAGAUUUUCUUUUAUACUUUGGUUUAGAAAGGGGAGGGGGGUCUAGUUAAAACAAUUUUACAGAAAUAAAGUAGGCAAAAAGUUAAAAGGAUAAAUGGUUACAGGAAAGUAAACAGUUCCAGGUGCAGGGGCUUUAAGACUAUUACAAGAUGAUAGACUCAGGGCUUUGGGUGUUAUCAAUCAGACGAAUUCCUGGGAAUUGCGGAUAUAGCUUGCCACAGUAUCUUAUCAGUUAAUUGCAUUCUUGGAUGUGCUGGGAGUCAGCUUGCACAAGUUAAGUCCUUGAGGAAGGGGCUGCCAGUGAAAGAGUCAAGAUGGAGUCUGUCUGGCUCUCUUAGCUAAGGGAGAGUCAAUUCAGGUGGAAACAAGCCUAAAAACAGGGUUAGUAAAAACAAGGUUGGGCAUUACAAUAGUUUUAUGCUGUCUUUUUAAACUUGAAAAGUGUACAGAAAAAUUUUUUCACAUCAGAUGGGUAAUGUGCCAACGUCGUAACAAGGUUUGCGGGAGGCACAUCUCACACAUGCACAUGAAAACCCAAUCAUCAGGCUUAUAAACUACAAAAGAAUCUGAAACUUCUUAGGCUUAAUAUUAGGUUGGUGCAAAAGUAAUUUCUGCCAUUACUUUUAAUGGUGAAAACCACAAUUUUACACCAACGUAAUAUAUUUACUUAUUUUAUUUUAAUGAAUAUACUAAACCAAGAGAGUUUAAAAUGAAAUAAGUACUGCUCUGUGGCCGGGCGUAGUGGCUCACGCCUGUAAUCCCAGCACUUUGGGAGGCCGAGACGGGCGGAUCACAAGGUCAGGAGAUCGAGACCAUCCUGGCUAACACGGUGAAACCCCAUCUCUACUAAAAAAUACAAAAAAUUAGCUGGGCGUGGUGGUGGGCGCCUGUAGUCCCAGCUACUUGGGAGGCUGAAGCAGGAGAAUGGUGUGAACCCGGGAGGUGGAGCUUGCAGUGAGCCGAGAUUGCACCACUGCACUCCAGCCUGGGUGAUAGAGCAAGACUCUGUCUCAAAAAAAAAAAAGAAAGAAAUAAGCACUGCUCUGUAAAGGUAAACACAGAGGAAGGGAUCUAGCUCAGAGAUCUCCAUACUGUGGACUUCCAGGGAUAACCCUGGUCAAAUAGCCAUGGGCUGGUCAAUGAUUUUGAGUUACUCUUUGAGAGGGAAGCUUGGCUUCAGAGAAGGAAAGGCCAGUGCAAGACAUGUGAGCAGCAGUUAGGUGCAUCCUAUUCCUAGACACAUACAUAGGAUAAGGAAGUCAGGUAUUGGGACUGUAGCUUUGGAAUGGACUAUACUUGCUUCAGAAUAUUAUCAGGGGGAGUUUGAGAAGCAAGGGCUUUCCUUCGUUGAUUCUCCUUUCACCAGUCUUCCUGGAAAGAAUAUUCUGCAGUUACAAAAUAGGUUCCUUGGCUGCCAGUCUGAUACUUGUGCUAAAACCAAAUAGAUGAAAAAGUAUCAACAUGAAUUUUAAAAAAUAUAUUGUGUGAGCUUGUAUAGCUAAGAAUUCCCAGCCCCCUACAUAGGAUCUGAAGAAAGAUCUAGUACUAAUUGUAUUAAAUAAUGGUUUAGGCAAAUGUGUAUCUGUCUCCUUAAGAGAGGAAGGCAGUCCCUACUGUAAAGUAAAAAUGAAAUGGAUAUACUUCCUGAGAGGGCUGGAAUUUUCUGAUAAUUGUCCCCUCUGAUUUUUCACAGGAUUUACGGAAUGGCCAUCUUCCAUAAUUAACAAAUAAAUAAAUGAAAUUUAAUGUCAGGGUCAAAUGAAACUGGAAACAAAGCUUAUCUGGUGAUAUAUCAAAUUAUGAGAGUCAUUAUUUGGAUGUAAGGAUAUAUGACAGAUAGACUCUUAGGAGAAAUGCUAUGACCUCCUGCUUCUUGGUAUUCCUUGUGUGAUUUCCUCCUCUUGAGUGUGAAGGCAUGUAUGUCAUUGAGUUAUAUAAGAUAGUGCCCAUCUUGCUAGUGUCUCUCUCUCUCUUGUGGCUCUGAAAAAUCAAGCUGCCUGCCAUGUUUGAGCUUUGAUAUGGAAAGACCCACAUGUUAAGGAACUGAGGGCAGACUCUGCCAACAGCUAGCUUUGAAACUGAAUCUCCCGGCCAGGCACAGUGGCUCAUGCCUUUAAUCCCAGCACUUUGGGAGGCCAAGGUGGGUGGAUCACAAGGUCAGGAGUUCAAGACCAGCCUGGCCAAGAUGGUGAAACCCCAUCUCUACUAAAAAUACAAAAAUUAGCUGGGUGUGGUGGCAGGCACCUGUAAUCCCAGCUACCCAGGAGGCUGAGGGAGAGAAUUUCUUGAACCCAGGAGGCAGAGGUUGCAGUGAGCUGAGAUCACGCCACUGCACUCCAGCCUGGGUGGCAGAGCGAGACUCCAUCUCAAAAAAAAAAAAAAAAGAGAGAAAGAAACCAAAUCUCUCAGUCCUACAACCUCAAGGAACUGAAUUUUGCCAACAAAAGCAGAUCCUUCCCCAGUCAAGCCUCAGAUGAGACAGCAUCCUCAGCUAACAACUUGUUUGCAGCCUCAUGAGAACUGAAGCAGAGAACCCAGCUAAACUGUGCCUAGACUCCUGACCACAGAAACUGAGAUAAUAAAUGUGUGUUGUUUUAAGCUGCCAAGUAUGUGAUAAUUUGUUAUGUAGUGGAGAACUAAUACAACAGGGAAAAGUUAAAAGCUAUUCACAUAAAUAUUUAUAAUGGAUACUAUUUCUACACAUUUAAAUCAAGCUUCUCUUACGUUCAUAAGAAGAUACGAAUCUGGAGAAGGAAAUUAUAUCAAGCAGAACGCUGCUCUGGUGUUGUGAAGACGGGAUCCCACCAUUCUAAUGUAUUCAAUUUAUUUAUUCAAUAAGUUUUGAGCAUCAACUAUGUUCCAGGCACUGAGAUAUUAAUCUAAGGAAGACACACGUGUUGUCCUCAUUGAGGAGCUCAAAAGUCUAAUACAUAAACCAACAAUCAUACAAAAAUCAUAGCCAUGUUACAGUGCUAUGAGGAAGAUGUUAAGAGAAUAUUCUGGAAGUACUCAUACAUAAAUACUUCAGAAACUGGGCAUUAUAAGAAGUCAGUUGCCUCUCUCUACUUUCAGUUCUACAUUUUUAUACCUUGUAGUGGAUUUAAAAUGGCCACAAAUUCUUCAAUACUCUUCUAUGGAGAGAUUUGAGGGCUAUUUCCCUUCAUCUUGAAUUUAGGCAGGCUUGUUCAGGGUCUGGCUUUUAAGAGGAGCUUUCACCUUGGUCUGUGGAAGUCCUGAGUCACUGUGUACAAAGUCCAUCUACCUUAUUACACCAUCUGGAGAGAGCUGAGACUACAGGGAGAGGGGGAGUGGCCCGGCUGAUCCCAGUCUUCCUAGUGACCCUGCCCAGGAACUUGGCAUGUGAGUAAAGCCAUCUUGGAACCUCCAUACCAGACCAGCCACGAGAUGAAUAAUACUAACUGAUCCCAGUCAAUGCCACAUAGAGCAGAAGAACUGCCUAACUGAAUUCUUUCCAAACUGCUGACUCAAAAAUUUGUAUGGUAUAAUAAAAUGUUUGUUUUAAGUCACUGUUUUGUUAGGAGUAAUAAGCAACCAGAAUAAAAUUCUAAUCUUUAUCAUGUACCGUGCUGAAAAUCUGACCAUCUCACUCUCCUUAAAACUCCGUCAAUCCCUUCCCAUUACCCAAAUCCCUCUUGUAUGUCAUAGAAGUCCCUCAUUACGUGACCUCUACCUACUUCUCUGGUCUUGUCUCCUAACAUGGCCUCCAACUCCAGGCUCUCAUAUUACCUAUUUGCUAAUGGUUCCUGGGCCAGCAUCCAACAUACUGUUCCCUCCUUCCAUGCCAAGAAGAGACAGCUUAUUCUGUUUCCUUGGCCGGUCAUUGCCUUCUUCAUUUGCUUUGCCUAACUUGCUCACCGUGUAAAAAUAUUCAUCUAAGUAGUUACUUCCUCUCAGAAGUCUGCUCUAGGCCAUGAGAAACUCACAGCCAAAAAUGCAAAUGAUUCCAGAUGAUCAUUCACUGUAGAAAAGGAAUUGAUGGGCCGG
rnacentral:lncRNA from 1 species